rnacentral:ncRNA from 1 species
AAUCGUUUCGUUCUGUUUGCGGCUUAUUGGAGCGGCGGCGCGAAACCGUCUCCUCUACUCCGCGUCCGCGGAACGGCUCCGGCAAGGAUAGCUGGGGCAAGC